CGGCAUCAGUAGCUCCUGUGAAUUCGUGCCGAGCACACCUGUCUACUACCUUCUCUCUCUUUCUCUCUUUUAGCCAUUCUCUCGAAUACUUUUUUUGUCUGUUUGAACAGCAGGAACAAGAAAUUUUUGAGUCGUGUGUUUGUGUAAACUUGCCAUCAAACUCUACCAUUUCCCAGGUGAUCAAGGUGACCGGAAACGAUAUUAUACACACACGCAUCCAUUUUUGUUUAAUGCCCUUUCCUUCCUUUUCUUUUUUUUUUCGCUGAAACAUUUUCCCGAACGAACCAAACUGACCGGAUACGACAAAGGCAAUGAAGCCCAUCCGCCGCAGCUUGCUGUUCAAAACCCGAUGGAUAAUAUAAUUUUAGCCAUAGGCUCUUUUUUGGGAUUUUUCUUUCGCUUAUUGUGCUGUUGGUUCCCAAUCACAGCAGCUAUAGACAGGUCGGGGUAUUCCAUCAUCAUUAUCUUGAUACAUAGCCCCGGGCGAUGUUAUUAGAUUGCUCAGGUAAGGAGGAGGAACAGCUGUUCAUGUUUUCUCUCUACACACGGUCGUCGUGGUUGGCUCCUGGUUGGAUGGAUGGAGACACGUUUGGCUUGGCUUCACAUUUCUUUUUCGUUGUUAUUUUUUCCAACAGCAGUUGCUUCGUCUUCUUCUUCCUACGACGCGCUCGACUGGCUGGCAACCCGCCCCCGCCACUUCCGUCGCUCACGGCCAUUUUUCCAUCAUUCGCCAUCUAUCGGAUUUCUUGUUCCCCAACUGGCAACCCGGCGCCGGCGCUUUCUUAUCGACCAAUCAGACGACGCUGCCACGCCCCCUUUUAUUCCGGAGCAAUAAGAAACAGUGACCAAUCACUGAUGCGAUCUUUGGAAUCAAUCGGAAUUUGUCGGUUGUUUUGUUGGCCGAUUCCCGCAAUGGCACUGGAAGAAUUCACGGGUCGCAAUUAAAUUUGACAGAUUUGAAUUUCUGGAAAAUGACACACUCGUGGAUCUUCAGUGCUGUACCGGGCGUCGGUUAUUCCAUCUUCUACUUAUCUUUCAUCAUUUCAUUUGAAUUGAAUUAUCUAAACAUUAUUGAGAGACUAUAUGUAGGGAAUUAAAUAUUCCGGUGAUCCUUGGCACUGGAAGAAUUCACAGAGUGCAUUACGACAGGUCGUGGGUUCCCUGGUGCCAGAGAUUGCUCCCGGAAAUCAAUAUCAUCACAAUUACAUUUAUGCUAUAGGAAUUGAUUUAUCGAUUUAUUGCCCGUGCCUAUUUCUGUCUAAUGUCUAUGUACAAUUGUCGCGUCUGUAUAAUAAACUCUGGAAUCGUUA